rnacentral:rRNA from 1 species
GGCCUGCCCACUGAGGAUUUAAAUGGCCGCGGUAUUUUGACCGUGCAAAGGUAGCAUAAUAAUUAGUUUUUUAAUUGAAAGCUGGAAUGAAAGGUUGGAUGAGAAAAUAACUGUCUCUGUUUAGAUUAAUUAAAAUUUUAUCUUUAAGUAAAAAAGCUUAAAUGAAAAUAGAAGACGAGAAGACCCUAUAGAGUUUUAAUUUAGUUGGGGUGAUUGAAAAAUUUAGUAAACUUUUUUUGUAGUUAUCCAUUGAUAUAUGAAUAUUUGAUCCUUUUUUAAAGAUUAAAAGAAAAAAUUACCUUAGGGAUAACAGCGUAAUUUUUUUAGAGAGUUCAAAUCGAAAAAAAAGAUUGCGACCUCGAUGUUGGAUUAAAAUUAAGUCUUGGUGUAGAAGCUAA